GGCGUAAGCGCGCGCAGGCGGUCCUUUAAGUCUGAUGUGAAAGCCCACGCCUCAACCGUGGAGGGUCAUUGGAAACUGGGGGACUUGAGUGCAGAAGAGGAAAGUGGAAUUCCAAGUGUAGCGGUGAAAUGCGUAGAGAUUUGGAGGAACACCAGUGGCGAAGGCGACUUUCUGGUCUGUAACUGACGCUGAGGCGCGAAAGCGUGGGGAGCAAACAGGAUUAGAUACCCUGGUAGUCCACGCCGUAAACGAUGAGUGCUAAGUGUUAGGGGGUUUCCGCCCCUUAUGGCUGCACCUAACGCAUUAAGCACUCCGCCUGGGGAGUACGGUCGCAAGACUGAAACUCAAAGGAAUUGACGGGGGCCCGCACAAGCGGUGGAGCAUGUGGUUUAUUUCGAAGCAACGCGAAGAACCUUACCAGGUCUUGACAUCCCGUUGACUACUGUAGAUAUAUGGGUUUCCCUUCGGACACAACGGUGACAGGUGGUGGAUGGUUGUCGUCUCCUCGUGUCGUGAGAUGUU
rnacentral:rRNA from 1 species